rnacentral:rRNA from 1 species
ACAUAAUUAUAAAUAAGACCCAGUUCCACUGAUUAUAAGAUCAAGUUACCAUAGGGAUAACAGCGUAAUAUUUCUUUGAAGCUCUUAUUUAAAGAAAAGCUUGCGACCUCGAUGUUGAAUUAUUUUCCUUUUAAACGCAAUAGUAUAAAAAGUAAGUCUGUUCGACUUUUAAAAAAUUACAUGAUUUGAGUU